rnacentral:rRNA from 1 species
GACGAACGCUGGCGGCAUGUCUGACCUAUGCAAGUCGAACGGUCCGGCACUAAACUGCGGAUCCGGCUCAACUGGAGAGACGGAGCGAGGGUCCGGAGUUUAGUGCCGGAUAGUGGCGGACGGGUGAGUAACGCGUGAGGAACCAACCUGGUACAGGGGGAUAACACUGGGAAACCAGUGCUAAUACCGCAUGAGACCACAGUACCGCAUGGUACGGGGGUCAAAGGAGCGAUCCGGUAUCAGACGGUCUCGCGUCCCAUUAGGUAGUAGGCGGGGUAACGGCCCACCUAGCCGACGAUGGGUAGCCGAGCUGAGAGGCUGAUCGGCCACACUGGGACUGAGACACGGUCCAGACUCCUACGGGAGGCAGCAGUGAGGAAUAUUGCGCAAUGGGGGCAACCCUGACGCAGCAACGCCGCGUGAGUGAGGAAGGUUUUCGGACCGUAAAGCUCUGUCGAGCGGGAAGAAAGUGCAUGGUGGCUAAUAUCCAUCAUGCUU